rnacentral:rRNA from 1 species
UGGGGAAUAUUGGACAAUGGAGGAGACUCUGAUCCAGCAAUUCUGUGUGCACGAAGACGGUUUUCGGAUUGUAAAGUGCUUUCAGCAGGGAAGAAGAAAGUGACGGUACCUGCAGAAGAAGCGACGGCUAAAUACGUGCCAGCAGCCGCGGUAAUACGUAUGUCGCAAGCGUUAUCCGGAAUUAUUGGGCAUAAAGGGCAUCUAGGCGGAUAUACAAGUCAGGGGUGAAAACUUAGGGCUCAACUCAAAGCUUGCCUUUGAAACUGUAUAUCUAGAGUGCUGGAGAGGUGGACGGAACUACACGAGUAGAGGUGAAAUUCGUAGAUAUGUGUAGGAAUGCCGAUGAUGAAGAUAGUCCACUGGACAGCAACUGACGCUGAAGUGCGAAAGCUAGGGGAGCAAACAGGAUUAGAUACCCUGGUAGUCCUAGCUGUAAACGAUGAUUACUGGGUGUGGGCAUGAAGAGUGUCUGUGCCGAAGCUAAUGCGAUAAGUAAUCCGCCUGGGGAGUACGACCGCAAGGUUG